UCCGGUCAAAAAAAGAUUUGUGUGGAAUGACAUUGGAAAGCUGUUUGCUAUCUACCCUUAAACACUGCCCAUAGGAGUAUGUUUCCGGUCUUGGAUAAAUCAAAAUAAAUAGUAUCACGUGAUAAACUAUACUAUAUGUAGAUUAACAUAGGUUUAGCUAAAUUAAAAAAAACUUGUGGCUAUGGAUAAGCAAUUUAGUAAUUCAAGGAAUUUCGAAAUAUGACUGUACUGCAUAUCAAUUCAAUAUGAUAAGUAAUCUAGGCCACGGGUGAUAAAAACAAAUAUCGGAGGGGACAGUAAAAGUUGAAUUCGCGCAAGAUCCGUAUCACUUCAAUUAUGUUUCACAACUGAGCGUUUUUAGGGAAGUUUUUGCUGCGCACCACCACUAUGUGGAACCAGCUGCACACUGAAGUAUUUCCGAACCAAUUCGACUUAGGGUCCUUCAAGAAAAGAGCGUCUCAAUUCAAGACCGGCAACAAAACUCGCGAGCCCUCUAACAUCAGGUGAGCCACCUGCCCGUUAGCAGCAUUUUUAAAGAAACAAAAAAAAAAGAUUUUCUAAAACUUCGUUAUAAAGCGAUUUUAUAACAAAGAUACGCUACGCUCGAUUGGAUGAUGACAUCAAAAAAACGCGAGUCCCUAAUGGUUUCAAAUAGCUCGGGAUAUAGAAAGAUGGCAAGCUUUGAAGGGGGCCUUUACCAGAGAGGGUUCCUGAUACUAACUAAGAUAUAGUAACAGAAAAAAAAAAUUACUAACACAUAGGAUUACUAGAUAUAAUUAAGAUUAGGUACAGUUUAUUAAGAAUAAGUCGAAAUAUGAGAGUAUGAGUAUAAGGUAUACUCAUACAUAGGUUUAUAUAAGUGUCUCAGGAAAUGAAUUAAGGCUCCAAAAAAAAGUCAAUUAACAAUUAUUAUACUGUAUUUAAUGGAUUCAUGAAGUGAAUAGUAUUUGAAAAUAAACACAUUUCCAUAUUACUUAUCGCUGUAAUAAAAUAUAGCAAUUGAUCGAUAACAUUGUCGUGCUAACGUACAAUUGGCCUAAAACAAAAUAAUAUAUAAAAAGAAAAUACGUCUUUCUCCUUCUUUAAGUGCCACGGGUAUCUUCUUUAAUUGUAAAAGCUUCAUAGCCGUACAGGACAAUUGGCCAUAUGUAACAAAAGAGAACUUGGAAUUUAAUGGACUAAUUUUAUAAUACUGUGUGUUGGAAGUUGUAUUACGUGUCUGAAUUAUAAACCAUUUUCUGAAGUAAAUUUUGGCGAUAUUUUACUUUGAUCUCCGGUGAUAUUCUAUACGCGAAACCACCACGAUGUUACUCUGUAUUUAUAUAUUAUUAUGUAUUGCUUCCUCAAGCAACAUAUUAAAUGGAGAUGGGAAGGUUAGCCUGUUAUACAGAUAACACAACAGAUGCAGAUGGUCUAAAACAGUAACGGAAUGGACUGGCCCAAAAGGAAAAAGGUACAAUGGCAGACCUAUAGAGCGAUGGGCCGACGGGAUGAUUGCUAAAAAAAUUUGAAUGACAAUGGCAAAAAAUAAAAUAGGAUGAAAAAAGUUGGAGGUGCCUUCACCCGGACAGGGGCCGCAUUUUAGAGUAAUAAAAUUUUAUUUUAUCUAUUUUUGUUUAAUAUGUCAAUAAGAUGGAUGAAUAAAGGCUUUUAUUAUGUAUUGCUAACAAAUAUGAAUAAAUCAAAUCUCUCGUU